UAUUCCAUCUAUCUUUUUGUUAUGUAAUUUGCUCUUGUUUGUUGUGACAGUGGCAACUCGUUCAGGGAUGAAGUGUCCUCACUGGUGUCAUCUAUGUCGAGGCCCAGCGCAAAGUCGAUAUACCUGCAGCGGAAGGAGUACGCCGCCUCGAUGAACAACACCAUCAAGUAUUUCCAU